rnacentral:rRNA from 1 species
GUGCCAGCAGCCGCGGUAAUACGUAGGUGGCAAGCGUUAUCCGGAAUUAUUGGGCGUAAAGCGCGCGUAGGCGGUUUUUUAAGUCUGAUGUGAAAGCCCACGGCUCAACCGUGGAGGGUCAUUGGAACCUGGAAAACUUGAGUGCGGAAGAGGAAAGUGGAAUUCCAUGUGUAGCGGUGAAAUGCGCAGAGAUAUGGAGGAACACCAGUGGCGAAGGCGACUUUCUGGUCUGUAACUGACGCUGAUGUGCGAAAGCGUGGGGAUCAAACAGGAUUAGAUACCCUGGUAGUCAAGGGCG